rnacentral:rRNA from 1 species
UACGGAGGGUGCAAGCGUUGUUCGGAAUCACUGGGCGUAAAGCGCGUGUAGGCGGCCUUGCAAGUCAGGCGUGAAAGCCCUCGGCUUAACCGGGGAAGUGCAUCUGAAACUGCAGGGCUUGAGUACCGGAGAGGAAGGCGGAAUUCCCAGUGUAGAGGUGAAAUUCGUAGAUAUUGGGAGGAACACCGGUGGCGAAAGCGGCCUUCUGGACGGAUACUGACGCUGAGACGCGAAAGCGUGGGGAGCAAACAGG